CGUUCUUACGUCUGCAGCGCUGUGGCUUUGUAAUUGACAUUCCCAGACACUAGAGGGCGAUAAAGCGCUGCUCUCUCUUUUAAAACCAGGAUCAAAAUGUCAACAGAGAGAAGAAACGCGCAACAAAGUAGCAUCAAAUGACUUUGAACUUUGCCUCAUCGAUAGCAUUUCUUCUAACUUGUUUUUGUAAAGAAUGUGAAUGAUGAACCGGAAUAUGGAUCAUUUUAGCACACUUAUCGCCGUGGUGUCAGGUGUAACGGUGUUGUAUCUCUUUCACUCAGUCUUUUACGCUUCUCACAUCUCAUUUAAAAAAACGCACACAGUCUUUGACUCCCAGAAGCAUUUGCCAGGUUCAGUUUACCUCAUGACCAGAUACAUUUAUGAAUCUCUCCGCAAAAAACGAGGAACAAUGAGGAAAAACAAAGACACAAAUGACGAGCUUGUUUUCACUUUGGUCAACUGCAGGUAUGAUGCCGUGUCUUUGAGGAGGUUCUGCAGUGUUUCAGGUUAUGGUUGGGACUAUCCUGACAGUGUCUUCAGAGACGUUCCCUUGUGCUACCCUGAGUUUCUCUUCACCAGACUUCUCACUAUGAUUAUGUGCUCGGAGAGAUUCAAACUAAGCCCUUUGGGUCUGUUGAGUGUCUGUGAGAGUUUGAGUCUGAGCGAUGCCUUGGAUGAGCUGAAGAGAGGGACGUUCUCCCAGCAGGCCAGAGUGCUGGAGUACAGGACUGUUAGUGCUGGAGUGGAGGUGGAUCUCGUUUUAACUGCAUCUAGAGAUCAGCAGACCGUUUGGAGCAGCACACUGACUCUACUCUCUCCUAACAAUACAUACAGACCUGAUGCUCAGCCUGACUUAGAGAUCACCCACGAUCCAGUCUCAGAGAGAUGCAUCAGCCUGGCUGUUCCUUGGUCCUCAGGUGUGCGGAGCACCUGGGUGUAUGGUGACCUUUGCCCUCUGCCUGUGUUUGUUUGGCUGGGAUUUACCCGUCCCACCACACACCCGCUGUGGAUGUUCUCCAUGUGCAUGGCAGAAAUGGAGAAACACAAAGGCAAGUAAUGUUUGAAGGCCUAUUCACAAGAACAGCAAAAUGACAACAUGCAAAUUGACAAA
rnacentral:lncRNA from 1 species